UGRUGAGGUUAAUAGGUUCGAGGUGGAAGCAUGGUGACAUGUGGAGCUGACGAAUACUAAUCGAUCGAAGACUUAAUCAA
rnacentral:rRNA from 1 species